CAGAGGCCCGAGCGUUAAUCGGAAUCACUGGGCUUAAAGGGUGCGUAGGCGGGUCAGUAAGCGCUUUGUGAAAUCCCACAGCUCAACUGUGGAACCGCAGGGCGAACUGCUGAUCUUGAGGAAGCUAGAGGCUGGUAGAACGAUAGGUGGAGCGGUGGAAUGCGUAGAGAUCUAUCGGAAUGCCGAAAGUGAAGACAGCCAGCUGGGGCUUUCCUGACGCUAAAGCACGAAAGCGUGGGGAGCAAACCGGAUUAGAUACCCGGGUAGUCCACGCCCUAAACGAUGUGCACUAGACUGGAGCGGCUCUGACGUCGUUCUGGUCGUAGAGAAAUUGUUAAGUGCACCGCCUGGGUAGUACGGUCGCAAGGCUA
rnacentral:rRNA from 1 species